rnacentral:rRNA from 1 species
ACCAACCCGAUGCAAACUGCGAAUACCGGAGAAUGUUAUCACGGGAGACACACGGCGGGUGCUAACGUCCGUCGUGAAGAGGGAAACAACCCAGACCGCCAGCUAAGGUCCCAAAGUCAUGGUUAAGUGGGAAACGAUGUGGGAAGGCCCAGACAGCCAGGAUGUUGGCUUAGAAGCAGCCAUCAUUUAAAGAAAGCGUAAUAGCUCACUGGUCGAGUCGGCCUGCGCGGAAGAUGUAACGGGGCUAAACCAUGCACCGAAGCUGCGGCAGCGACACUGUGUGUUGUUGGGUAGGGGAGCGUUCUGUAAGCCUGUGAAGGUGUGUCGUGAGGCAUGCUGGAGGUAUCAGAAGUGCGAAUGCUGACAUAAGUAACGAUAAAGCGGGUGAAAAGCCCGCUCGCCGGAAGACCAAGGGUUCCUGUCCAACGUUAAUCGGGGCAGGGUGAGUCGACCCCUAAGGCGAGGCCGAAAGGCGUAGUCGAUGGGAAACGGGUUAAUAUUCCCGUACUUGGUGUUACUGCGAAGGGGGGACGGAGAAGGCUAUGUUGGCCGGGCGACGGUUGUCCCGGUUUAAGCGUGUAGGUGUGUGUUCCAGGUAAAUCCGGUUCACUUUAACACUGAGGCGUGACGACGAGGCACUACGGUGCUGAAGCAACAAAUGCCCUGCUUCCAGGAAAAGCCUCUAAGCAUCAGGUAACAUCAAAUCGUACCCCAAACCGACACAGGUGGUCAGGUAGAGAAUACCAAGGCGCUUGAGAGAACUCGGGUGAAGGAACUAGGCAAAAUGGUGCCGUAACUUCGGGAGAAGGCACGCUGACACGUAGGUGAAGUGAUUUACUCAUGGAGCUGAAGUCAGUCGAAGAUACCAGCUGGCUGCAACUGUUUAUUAAAAACACAGCACUGUGCAAACACGAAAGUGGACGUAUACGGUGUGACGCCUGCCCGGUGCCGGAAGGUUAAUUGAUGGGGUCAGCGCAAGCGAAGCUCCUGAUCGAAGCCCCGGUAAACGGCGGCCGUAACUAUAACGGUCCUAAGGUAGCGAAAUUCCUUGUCGGGUAAGUUCCGACCUGCACGAAUGGCGUAAUGAUGGCCAGGCUGUCUCCACCCGAGACUCAGUGAAAUUGAACUCGCUGUGAAGAUGCAGUGUACCCGCGGCAAGACGGAAAGACCCCGUGAACCUUUACUAUAGCUUGACACUGAACAUUGAGCCUUGAUGUGUAGGAUAGGUGGGAGGCUUUGAAGCGUGGACGCCAGUCUGCGUGGAGCCGACCUUGAAAUACCACCCUUUAAUGUUUGAUGUUCUAACGUGGACCCGU